UACGUAGGGUGCAAGCGUUGUCCGGAAUUAUUGGGCGUAAAGAGCUCGUAGGCGGUCAGUAGCGUCUGCUGUGAAAACUCGGGGCUUAACUCCGGGCCUGCAGUGGGUACGGGCUGACUAGAGUGCGGUAGGGGAGACUGGAAUUCCUGGUGUAGCGGUGAAAUGCGCAGAUAUCAGGAGGAAUACCGAUGGCGAAGGCAGGUCUCUGGGCUAUAACUGACGCUCAUGCACGAAAGCGUGGGGAGCAAACAGG
rnacentral:rRNA from 1 species